rnacentral:rRNA from 1 species
UACGUAGGGGGCAAGCGUUGUCCGGAAUCAUUGGGCGUAAAGCGCGCGUAGGCGGCUGAGUAAGUCUGCUCUGAAAGCCCGGGGCUCAACCCCGGGAGGCGGGUGGAUACUGCUCAGCUCGAGUCCGGAAGAGGAGUGUGGAAUUCCUGGUGUAGCGGUGAAAUGCGCAGAUAUCAGGAGGAACACCAAUGGCGAAGGCAGCGCUCUGGGGCGGUACUGACGCUGAGACGCGAAAGCGUGGGGAGCAAACAGG